CUAACCACAGAGGUGAUGAUUUCCAUUGAGACUGCAUUUGAAUUCAAAUAACGACACACUAAUUUGCACAAUACUUUAUUAGUAAUUCAAAAUCGUAUGCAUUGAACAAAAUUAAAACAGAAGUUCAAACUGUGAUCUGUCACAAUACGUGAUUUCGGUCUAUAACUUCCAUUUCCAGUUCAACACAACGUCAAGGAAAUACAUAAAAUGAUUUUAAAAUGUCCUAUUAUUUCUUAUUGAUUGUUACACUAGUUUAGAAUGAUAAAAAUAUAAUAAUCGAUCAUUAGUGUUAUAUUAAUCUAGAGCAAAAAUGCAAAAAGAGAGCAUUAAUACAGAGCUGUAACACAAAACCGAAACGCCUCAGGUUACAUAAGUUUUACUAUGAUUAUACAGUGUCAUGAACAAAACAAGUAUAGACUAUUCUACCACUAGCAGCUGCAGUUGCACAUUAACAGUCUCGGGGAUAAAGGGGUUAAAACACUAAAUCUAUUCAUGCCAAGCCAGAAAGGCACGAAUUGCACUUCUAUCUUGAAAAAGCCACUGAGAUAAAGGAAAAUCCCAAUAUUUGUCGAAAAAAACAACAAUGUUGCCUAAAAGAGUAACACCUAAGAGUUUCUGAAACCCAAAACAAAGGAAAUUGUUGCGAGUUGUGUUGAAGUUCUACAUGAAGAAGACCAUCGUCUCUGUCCUUAUUUCAGCACUGGACAGCGUCUGUACAGACUUUAUACAAGAGAACCGUCCUUUAACUCUGAGGAACUUCACUAUUCCUUCACCACUGAGUAAUAAACUCUGAAGUACUGGCAGCAUGUCCAGAAUUUGUCCUCCAAACGCUAAUGGCACGUCUGUCAUAAUUUGUAGACGAUCCUAAUGGUAUAAAACAAAAUCCUACUGGAUUUACUGAAAUUCUAGAAAGAAAAAAAAAUCAUUAGCUAAAAGAGGCUUGAGAAACACAAUAGGCACCUCAGUUCAUCCAGAGGGAUGUUCUUUGAUUCUUAGACGAUUCACAUUUGAUCCAGUUUGGAUUGGUUCCAAAAUAUGGUUCUGUAAAAUCCUACUGAAUUUGAUUCUUAGUUUUUGUUGUUGUUGUAAUGCUUCGAAUUAUAAUAGAAAUCCAUUAUUGGGUUGAAUGAUCAAUGUCUUUUUUCCCCAGAAUUUUAAUUCUAUAUAUAUUAUCUUAUUUGAUUUAUAGAGGACUCCUGUUUAGUCACAAUUGGACUGGAUCUCAGUUAUGAUAGAAAUUCCAUUAAUAUUCAGUAAUAUACUUUUAGGUUAAUUAACUGAUUUUUUUUACUGAUUAAUUUUAUUAUUUUUUAUUUUAUUUUUUAGAAGAUUUUCAUUUGAUCCCAUCAAUAAAAUGGCAAGCAUUAAAUGAUAUCCUACUGGAUUUACUGAUUAAUGUCGUUUUAAGAAUUCAGGAGUUUAUUUGAUUCAUCAAGGGUUUCUGUUUGAUCUCAUUGGCAUUGACUCCUAAUUUUAAUAUAAAAUCCAUUCAUAUUCAAUAAGAUCUUUUCAAAUUAAUUGAUUUUUUCCCCACGAAUUUUCUUAGUAUUAUUAUUUCAUUUUUAUGAAAUUCUCAUGUGAUCCCAUCAAUUAGUAUUCAACAAAAUCCUGCUAUUAACUCAUUUUAUCCAGAAGGAUCUCACUCGAUACUCUUUAGGAUUGACCAGCAAUUAUGAUAGAAAUUCCUUAGUCUUCAACAGUCUUUCUCAAAAACCACUGAAGACCGUUCCUAGAUUUCUUCCAAAGCCUCCUCCGGGAUCUACGAUGAAAACUCAUCAACUCUAAUGCUUAUACAAAGAAUCGAUAUAUUCCGUAGGUAAUAUCAUAAGAAUACAGAGGUUAUUUACAUCGUCCUCCGAAGGCUGGCACUGCGUUAUCAAGACACAGCGACCGAUUCCAACAAGUCCUCAUCCUUGGUCUGUCCCGAGUGUCUCACGUCCUCUGUCACGCCAGGAUCCUCCGUGUUUGGAUCACUUUUGCGCGCUGCCGCGGGGGGUCUCACCAUGACGCACUGCCGGACCACCGGCUUGCCUUUGACCGUUUUGGGACUGCAGUUGUCGCGCUCGUAUUCCUCCUGGGCUUUCUGUAUCUUGCGCUUUUUCAUCUUGCUUUUGUGAAAGUGGAAGGUCGUGACGGACACGAAUAUUAUCCCAAUGAUCAUCGCGAUGAGCACGAAAAGCACGACGGUGGAGGAGAACGCCUGGAACAGCUGAUCCACCCGAUCAAAGCAGGUGCCAUUGCUGGUCCGAGCGGUUCCGUUUAAGGCACAGUGGGGAAUGGAAAGCGCCAGUCUCUCCAAGGUCCGGGCACUCAUUUAGUCCGGGUCGGGCAGUGUCUGUAUUGCAGGGAAGAAUCGAGGAGACGAAAGCGAAGAGAAAUGUCCAGCCCUGCGAACGCGCGCGCUAUAUUGCUUUCAUUUCUCUUGAGGGAAAUAAACUCAUCUGUGACAGCUAGCGUGAAAAGAAACAGCUGCAUCCUCCCACAUCUCUACAUGUAAGUGUCCCCUUUAAAUACAAAGUCAGGUGAUGCUCCCUCUGUCUGUG
ensembl:lncRNA